UCUCUCUCUCUUCUCUAUAUAUAUAUAUAUAUAUAUAUAUAUAUAUAGAGAGAGAGAGAGAGAGAGAGGUCUCCUCGGGGACGAAGCGAGCUAUCAACGAGGAGAGAGAGAAAC